AUACGUAGGUGACAAGCGUUAUCCGGAUUUACUGGGCGUAAAGGGCGUGUAGGCGGUCUUGCAAGUCAGAAGUGAAAUUCCUGAGCUCAACUCGGGCGCUGCUUCUGAAACUGCAGGACUUGAGUGCUGGAGGGGAUAGCGGAAUUCCUAGUGGAGCGGUAAAAUGCGCAGAUAUUAGGAAGAACACCGGUGGCGAAGGCGGCUAUCUGGACAGUAGCUGACGCUGAGGCGCGAAAGCGUGGGGAGCAAACAGGAUUAGAUACCCUGGUAGUCCACGCUGUAAACGAUGAAUACUAGGUGUAGGGGGUAUCGACUCCCUCUGUGCCGCAGUUAACACAAUAAGUAUUCCGCCUGGGGAGUACGGCCGCAAGGUUGAAACUCAAAUGAAUUGACGGGG
rnacentral:rRNA from 1 species